AGAGUUUGAUCCUGGCUCAGGAUGAACGCUAGCGACAGGCUUAACACAUGCAAGUCGAGGGGCAGCGGGGGAGUAGCAAUACUUCGCCGGCGACCGGCGCACGGGUGAGUAACACGUGUGCAACCAACCCCGUACCGGGAGAUAACCCGCGGAAACGUGGACUAACAUCCCAUAAUACUGGAGGAUCGCAUGAUCUUUCAUUUAAAAAUCCGGUGGUACGGGACGGGCACGCGCGACAUUAGGUAGUUGGCGGGGUAACGGCCCACCAAGCCGACGUAUGUCUAGGGGGUUCUGAGAGGAAGGUCCCCACACUGGAACUGAGACACGGUCCAGACUCCUACGGGAGCA
rnacentral:rRNA from 1 species